rnacentral:rRNA from 1 species
UACGAAGGGGGCUAGCGUUGCUCGGAAUGACUGGGCGUAAAGGGCGCGUAGGCGGAUGGCACAGUCAGAUGUGAAAUUCCCGGGCUUAACCUGGGGGCUGCAUUUGAUACGUGUGAUCUGGAGUGAGGAAGAGGGUCGUGGAAUUCCCAGUGUAGAGGUGAAAUUCGUAGAUAUUGGGAAGAACACCGGUGGCGAAGGCGGCGACCUGGUCCUUGACUGACGCUGAGGCGCGAAAGCGUGGGGAGGCAAACAGG